rnacentral:lncRNA from 1 species
AGUCAUUGCUACAAAGUAGGACAUGUAAUAAACAACGGGAAGCACAGAUAAUGAUAAAAUGUCAGUCAACUGAAGCCUCUAUAUACAUCCAAAAACAUUUUAUUUAAAGGUGUAAUGUUGAAAGCUUUCCCUCUGUUAUUGGCAAUCAUGAAAGGUUGUCCACUGUCAUCACCCCUGUUCAGUAGUAUACUGGAGAUACACAAAGCACUAAUGAUGAGCAAAUUAAAACUAAAAAGUGGGGCACCAUGGAGCCCGGGUCGCGGUGACUCUAGGCCAAUUCUCCCAUCUCCCUCCCACCACACCUCCACCUCCAGGGAAACCGCGCACUUCCCCUCCAGUCCAUCUGCACAGAGCUGUGCUUCUCCGUCUCUUUACAUUGGUGAUCAGCCCUGAAAUAAAUCUGUGCGCGCCAAUAAACAAGGAAAGCCCAAACAAGGACUCAGCUCCGCUGACCGUCAAGCUCUUCUCAGUGUUGACAGCCACAGGUCUCU